AGUGAACGCUGGCGGUAGGCCUAACACAUGCAAGUCGAACGGCAGCACAGUAAGAGCUUGCUCUUACGGGUGGCGAGUGGCGGACGGGUGAGGAAUACAUCGGAAUCUACUUUUUCGUGGGGGAUAACGUAGGGAAACUUACGCUAAUACCGCAUACGACCUACGGGUGAAAGCAGGGGAUCUUCGGACCUUGCGCGAUCGAAUGAGCCGAUGUCGGAUUAGCUAGUUGGCGGGGUAAAGGCCCACCAAGGCGACGAUCCGUAGCUGGUCUGAGAGGAUGAUCAGCCACACUGGAACUGAGACACGGUCCAGACUCCUACGGGAGGCAGCAGUGGGGAAUAUUGGACAAUGGGCGCAAGCCUGAUCCAGCCAUACCGCGUGGGGGAAGAAGGCCUUCGGGUUGUAAAGCCCUUUUGUUGGGAAAGAAAAGCAGCAGGUUAAUACCCCGCUGUUCUGACGGUACCCAAAGAAUAAGCACCGGCUAACUUCGUG
rnacentral:rRNA from 1 species